UGUGCUGCCUCGUAUGCGCCAUGUGCUCUCCCCUUUCCUAACUAGAGAAAAAAACCUUAAGAAUCAUAUGUUACUUUUUUUUUUUUCUGUUUUCUGGAGUACACCAUCCCUCGAAUCCCAUUCGGAUCAACCACAAAACCCAGGGGUGUAUAAAAGCCAAGAACUCAAGGUUUUGAAUACAAAGCAAUGUUCACAAUCCCGUUUCUAACAAUUCCUGUACAAGUCUCUCCAUCACAGCCUUCCCUAAUCCAAUCCCCUGAUACGAAGGAUCCACCACCAUGUCCCAGAUGAUGGCAUUGAAAACAUUGUCCCCUGCGGCUCUCGCAAGUGCAACUGGCUUCUGGGUUUUCUUGUGCUCCACCCAGAGGAGUGAGUUCGUGCUCUCCAAUGCUAGUUUGAUCUUCUCCUAUUGCUAGUUUGAUGCCCAUAUAGCAAUUUUUUGUUUUUGGUUGACGGGGGAAUUUUUUGAGGAUUCUCAUUUGAGGAAUUGUUAAGUUGAAUGGGGAUUGAGACAAGUCAGGCUAACAAGAAGGAAAAGAACUCUUAUGAAUUGGAGAAAGAAAAGAAUCCAAAUUUGGAUCCGUAUCCAAAUCCAGAAACCAAUACGAAUACCAAAGGGAAAAAGAGCCGGCGACGGCACCACAAGAAGGCGGUGGUGGUAUCGCCGAUUGAAAAACUGCUUCUCAGGCUGAAGUAAAAAAUAUCUUUGAAUCAACCUGUGGUGAGGUGAGGACAUAAAUAAAAGAAAUCCCCUUCCCUCCCCAAAAAGAGUUGGCUGUAAGGAGCAUUCCAAUGUUUAACUGCCCGUUUUUUUUCUUGUAUAUUUUUUCAUUCAUAGGUUAUCCGCUUGAGGCUUUUGGGGGAUCAUGUCCAUUCAAGUCGUAUAGCUUUUGUUGAAUUUUCCAUGGUGAGUUUGUGUUUACAGCACUUAAAUGAGUGUAAAUUCUGAGAGCUGCAUUGUUAUGGGAAUUUUGCUUGUGCUUAGUUUUCCUUGGAUUUUAAUAUGUCUUUCUUCAUUCAUCCAUUUUUGCGUCUGUUUAUCUGUUUGUUAUCAUAGCUUCCUUAACAAUAUUAUUACCUUGUUGGAGAUCUAAGUAAAAUUCAAUUUUCAACAUUCUAUACCUAGUUAGAUUUUACUAGAUAUAGAAUGUUGAAAAUUGAAUUUUCAUAUUUAAGUCCUUUAUAUUGAACUAAUGGAAAGGGAAUUGUCCUGCUUUCUAUUUGCAUAAGAGUAAUUUUGCAUUCACUUUUACUCAUUGAGGUGUUUUUCCUUGAUGCAGAUUAUGGCUUUAUCCUUGAUUUGACUAUGGGGCAUAAUUAAUGUUUGAAGAGAUAUUAUUAUGGGACCAGAAUAUUCAUGAAUAAAUAUGGAGUGGAAUGGUCCAGAUCUUCUUGCUAGCAUGGGUAUUUACCGAGAAAAUAUGGCCAGACAUGACUUGGUUCACUUUUGUGAUAUUGUAAUCUAUAUUUGUUGUGAUAUAAUUAUCGCUCAAUACUGAAGUUUGUAGGUUGGAGUCUAUAUUGGAUUUCUUAGUGUUUCAAUUGCAUUGCAAGUCUAUACUUUUCUUUGCAUAUAUUAAAUUUAUGAACUUCAUAAUUUAAUAAAGAUAUCAUUUUCUCCAA